ACAAUGUUCAAUCCCAACUUUUCUGAGUCCUAGUACGCAAGGAAUGGUCUCAGCGAUGCUCGACUAUAUUGGCCCCAUCGACGUAAUCAACUUCUGGCUGCUGCAAAGAAGGAGAACAAAAGGUUUCGGGAUUAAUCAGGUACAUGUGGGUGCAUAGCCCCUGGUGCCCU
rnacentral:rRNA from 1 species